rnacentral:rRNA from 1 species
AACGUCGUGAGACAGUUCGGUCCCUAUCUGCCGUGGGUGUAGGAGAAUUGAGAGGAUCUGUCCUUAGUACGAGAGGACCGGGAUGGACGUACCUAUGGUGGACCUGUUGUGGCGCCAGCCGCAUAGCAGGGUAGCUAAGUACGGACGGGAUAACCGCUGAAAGCAUCUAAGCGGGAAACCCACCUCAAAACGAGUUCUCCCUUGAGAGCCGUGGAAGACGACCACGUUGAUAGGCCGGGUGUGGAAGUGCGGCAACGCAUGGAGCUUACCGGUACUAAUAGCUCGAUCGGCUUGAUCAC